UACGUAGGGGGCAAGCGUUGUCCGGAAUCAUUGGGCGUAAAGAGCGUGUAGGCGGCCAGAUAAGUCCGCUGUGAAAUCUCGAGGCUCAACUUCGAGCUGUCGGUGGAAACUGUCUGGCUAGAGUCCGGAAGAGGAGAAUGGAAUUCCCGGUGUAGCGGUGAAAUGCGCAGAUAUCGGGAGGAACACCAAUGGCGAAGGCAGCUCGCUGGGACGGUACUGACGCUGAGACGCGAAAGCGUGGGAGCAAACAGG
rnacentral:rRNA from 1 species